UUGUACACACCGCCCGUCACACCAUGGAAGUUGGUUUUGCCCGAAGUCGUUACCCCAACCGCAAGGAGGGGGACGCCGAAGGCAGGGCUGAUGACUGGGGUGAGGUCGUAACAAGGUAGCCGUACCGGAAGGUGUGGCUGGAUCACCUCCUUUUCAGGGAGACCCACAAAGCAAGUCGGCACGUCUAAGUCGCAAGUCGCAAAUGAGAUGACUGGCGAAUGGCGAAAGUGCGACUUGGUUUGUUAUCCCAAGGUCGGUCGAAGAAUAGUGGUGAGGCUUUCAAACUAUAUUGGUUCGGUUAAUUGGGCUAUUAGCUCAGGUGGUUAGAGCGCACCCCUGAUAAGGGUGAGGUCCCUGGUUCGAGUCCAGGAUGGCCCACGUUGAAAAAAAAAGUGUGAUAGAAAAGUAUUGUUGAGAAAAAUUUCAGCAACUGCACGAUAUGAAAAUCGUCAGACUGCUGGAAACGUUUCCAGCCAGAACCUUGAAAACUGCAUAGUAACGCGAAAAUCGCAGACACAGAGCAAACGUAAGUAAUUACGUUGAACUAGUGUCUGGAGACACCAAUGUGGUCAAGCUAAUACGGCUGACAGUGGAUACCUAGGCACACAGAG
rnacentral:misc_RNA from 1 species